rnacentral:pre_miRNA from 1 species
GUUUAUGGCUCGUUGUCGUGUGUCGCUGUCGUUUGUUGCUGUCUGUCGCUCUAUAGCCGCGUCCCACUAGAGCGACAGACAGCAACAAACGACAGCGACACACGACAUCGA